CGGUUUGGGAUGAGCCUAUGUCCUAUCAGGUAGUUGGUGAGGUAACGGCUCACCAAGCCUAUGACGGGUAGCUGGCCUCAUGAGGGUGGUCAGCCAGAGGGGGACUGAGACACGGCCCCCACUCCUACGGGAGGCAGCAAUUAGGAAUAGUCGGCAAUGGGCGAAAGCCUGACCGCGCAAUGCCGCGUGUAGGAAGACGCUCUAACGAGUGUAAACUACUGUGGCGAGGGAAGAAGUCUUCGGAUCGACGGUACCUCGCUAGAGAGGGGCCGCUAACUGCGUGCCAGAAGCGUCGGUAAGACGUGGGCCCCGAGCGUUAUCCGGUGUUACUGGGCGUAAAGAGUCGUGUAGGCGGUUCGAAAAGUUACCUUUUAAAUCCCAAUGCUCAACAUUGGAACUGGAGGUAAUACUCUCGAACUAGAGUUUUCUACAGGGUGAAUGGAACUGUGGGAGGAGUAGUAAAAUGCGUUGAUCCCCACGGGAACACCAGUGGCGAAGGCGGUUCACUGGUAGAAGACUGACGCUGAGACACGAAAGCUAGGGUAUCGAAGCAGAUUAGAGACCUGCGUAGUCCUAGCCGUAAACGCAUGCUUGCUAGCUGCAUUUCCGCCCCUUCGGGGGUUAGGUGUGGCGAAGGUAACCCGUUAAGCAAAGCCGCCUGGGGAUUACGGUCGCAAGACUAAAACUCAAAGGAAUUGGCGGGGAGGCACACAACCAGUGGAACAUGUGGUUUAAUUCGAAACAAACCGAAGAACCUCACCUGGGUUUGACAUGUAGCUGCUCAUCCUAUGAAAGUAGGACUCCUUCGAGGGUGCUACACAGGUGCUGCAUGGCUGUCGUCAGUUCGUUCCGUGAGGAGUGCCCUUAAGUGGGACAACGAACGCAACCCCCAUCGUAUGUUAUAUCUGUCAUACGAAACUGCCUUGCCGUUGGCGAGGAGGAAGGAGGGGCAGACGUCAAGUCUGCAUGGUCCUUAUGCCCAGGGCUACACACAUGUUACAAUGAGAAGGAACAAUGAGCAUUGCGNACUCGCGAGGGUAAGCAAAUCUCAGAAAUCUUCUCUCAGUGGGGAUUGGAGUCUGCAAUUCGACUCCAUGUACGCGGAAUUGGUAGUAAUCGCGGGUCAGC
rnacentral:rRNA from 1 species